rnacentral:rRNA from 1 species
AUUGAACGCUGGCGGCAGGCCUAACACAUGCAAGUCGAGCGAGCGGCGGACGGGUGAGUAAGGUCUGGGAAACUGCCUGAUGGCGGGGGAUAACUACUGGAAACGGUAGCUAAUACCGCAUACCAUCAGAUGUGCCCAGAUGGGAUUAGCUAGUAGGUGGGGUAAUGGCUCACCUGGGCGACGAUCCCUAGCUGGUCUGGGAGGAUGACCAGCCACACUGGAACGGAGACACGGUCCAGACUCCUACGGGAGGCAGCAGUGGGGAAUAUUGCACAAUGGGCGAAAGACUGAUGCAGCCAUGCCGCGUGUGUGAAGAAGGCAUUCGGGUUGUAAAGCACUGUCAGCGGGGAGGCGUUACCCGAAGAAGAAGCACCGGCUAACUCCGUGCCAGCAGCCGCGGUAAUAC